rnacentral:rRNA from 1 species
ACGAACGCUGGCGGCGUGCUUAACACAUGCAAGUCGAACGGGCCCGCUCUCUUUUUUGGGGGUGGGUUGAGUGGCGAACGGGUGAGUAUCACGUGAGUAACCUGCCCCCUGCUCCUGGAUAACUGCUUGAAAGGGCGGCUAAUACGGGGUGUGCCGGCUGGUCCGCAUGGGCCUGGUCGGGAUAGUUUCAUCUUCGGGUGUUUCGGUGGGGGAUGGGCUCGCGGCCUAUCAGCUUGUUGGUGGGGUGAUGGCCCACCAAGGCGGUGACGGGUAGCCGGCCUGGGGGGGUGGGCGGCCACACUGGGACUGAGACACGGCCCAGACUCCGGCGGGAGGCAGCGGUGGGGGGUAUUGCACAAUGGGCGGAAGCCUGAUGCAGCGACGUCGCGUGAGGGAUGGAGGCCUUCGGGUUGUGAACCUCUUUCUCCGGUGGUGAAGGCCCUGUCCGUUGCGGCGGGGUUGACGGUAGCCGGGUAUGAAGCGCCGGCUAACUACGUG